rnacentral:rRNA from 1 species
GACGAACCGAGCGAACGUUGUUCGGAAUCACGUGGCUUAAAGGGCGCGUAGGCGGGUGCUCAAGUCCGGGGUGAAAUCCCACAGCUCAACUGUGGAACUGCCUCGGAUACUGGGCGUCUCGAGGGUGGCAGGGGUAUGCGGAACUAUCGGUGGAGCGGUGAAAUGCGUUGAUAUCGAUAGGAACUCCGGUGGCGAAGGCGGCAUACUGGUCCACUUCUGACGCUGAGGCGCGAAAGCCAGGGGAGCGAACGGG